UACGAAGGGAGCUAGCGUUGUUCGGAAUAACUGGGCGUAAAGGGCGCGUAGGUGGAUAGAUGCGUUAGAUGUGAAAGCCCCGGGCUCAACCUGGGAAUGGCAUUUAAUACGGUUUAUCUAGAGUACGAGAGGGGAAAGCGGAAUGGCGAGUGGAGCAGUGAAAUGCAUUGAGAUUCGCUAGAACACCAGAGGCGAAGGCGGCUUCUGGCUCGUUACUGACACUAAGGCGCGAAAGCGUGGGGAGCAAACAGG
rnacentral:rRNA from 1 species